UACAGAGGGGGCAAGCGUUGUUCGGAAUUACUGGGCGUAAAGGGCGCGUAGGCGGCCUUCUAAGUCGAACGUGAAAUCCCUCGGCUUAACCGGGGAACUGCGUCUGAUACUGGAUGGCUUGAAUCCGGGAGAGGGAUGCGGAAUUCCAGGUGUAGCGGUGAAAUGCGUAGAUAUCUGGAGGAACACCGGUGGCGAAGGCGGCAUCCUGGACCGGCAUUGACGCUGAGGAGCGAAAGCGUGGGGAGCGAACAGG
rnacentral:rRNA from 1 species